rnacentral:rRNA from 1 species
GACGAAGGAUGCAAGCGUUAUCCGGAUUCAUUGGGGUUAAAGGGAGCGUAGGUGGCCUUAUAAGUCAGUGGUGAAAUCUCUGGGCUUAACCCAGAAAUUGCCAUUGAUACUGUAGGGCUUGAGUACAGUUGCUGUGGGCGGAAUAUGACAUGUAGUGGUGAAAUACAUAGAGAUGUCAUAGAACACCGAUUGCGAAGGCAGCUCACAAAACUGUAACUGACACUGAGGCUCGAAAGUGCGGGGAUCAAACAGG